UUUGAUUUAUAUGCCGCCCUUCUCCGGAGACUCAAGGCGGCUUACAAUGCGUUAAGCUUUAAUGAUGAUUCUGAUUUCCAAGGUCAAGUUCAUACUAGAUAAAAUACUAUAGUUAUACGUUCAACUACCUCAAAUGUAAUUUUGCUCUUGGUUAGUUUAUUUUGCAAGUUUAUCGUGAUUAUUUUGCAGUUUUGCAACUUCUUCAAUUCUGCAUUAUGAGAUAAAAGUAUUCUGUGCCUUUCAUCAGAGAUUUGCAUAACUGUUCCAUUGUAGUUACUUCUUUUUCUAAGUGAUUUCUUUCACAGAAUUUGCCUUUUUUUUUUGCAGCAGCCUAAUAUUGAAUUUGAGUUUUCCCAAUAACUGAAGCUCCCUAACUGUAUUACAUGUUAUUUAAAAUAUAAAGAAAUUAUGAAAGCAUAAAAGCAAAACAGUGAAAGAAUAACAUGCAAUUAAUAAAUUGUAUAGGGAAACUAUAUCUGGUAUUCCAAUAUAGAAGAGGCAAAUCAAACCAAAGAAAGAUUUGGGGAAAUAGAGGAAUAUUUUUGCCUGGUGAUAAAUAUGAUGCUAAACAUAUUGGGGCAUUCUGUAAAUCACUGCCUAGAACAGGGGUGUCAAACUCACAUCAUGGUGUUGUCUUCCCCCCCCCUUCGCUAAACCAGGCAUAGGCAUGGCCAAUGCAUGACACAUUCAGCCUGGGAGUUUGGCAGCCCUGGCCUAGAAGCUCCUCUGUUAACUUAAUUUGAUAAAUUGUCUUUAUCAAUAGGAAUUUGCUCAACAAAUGAGUUGUCUAUUAACAUCUCAGCUCCCAUUUAUGUGAUAUUAAAAUAUUUUCCAGAUAUCCUUUAGUUUAUUUUUGCCUGCCUCUCCCAAUUGCCAACCUCUAAAAAAAGGAUCCCAGAGGAAUAAGAAAAAAUCAGGAGAAAACCUGCUAUAGUAAUUCCUUCCCUCCAAAGGACCAUCAGGACACCAACUACCGUGUUUCCCCAAAAAUACAACCUACCCCGAAACACCUGUUGUGGCUCCGUUACCUGAGCCUGUGUCAUCGGCAGGAGAGGAAUCCGAGAGUGAAGGAGAGGAGUUGGCAAGGCCUCCCUCUCCAGGACCCUCCUCGUUGGCAAUGCCUUCGGUGUCCACUGAAGGGCAAGAGAUAGGGCCGGGGCCAAGCACGUCCACGCAGCCACAGGUGGACAGUGAUGAGAGUAAUGAGUCUUGGCUGGAUCCUCGACAGCGUCGCAGAGAUAAGCGCGUGCAACAGAAGAAAAGGCGUGCCAGAGAUUAGCUGAAAGCUUCCACACCAUUCUGCAUUGCCGGACUUUUGCUAUAGGCUUUGCUGGAUUAUAUUUGGACUUAAUUUACUCUGUAAUUAUUGAACAUUUUACUUUGAUGUACCAGAAGCGGAGAGAAGUUAUCUCUUCCCUUCGUGAGUAAUAAACUCUUGGCAGGCAUCCACUAGGUUGCUGCCAAGUUCCGUUAUCAUAA